CCCUUAGAUGUUCUGGGCCGCACGCGCGCUACACUGACGAAGUCAGCGAGCAUGUCCUACGCCGACAGGUGCGGGGAAUCUUGUCAAACUUCGUCGUGAUGGGGAUUGAUUUUUGAAAUUCUUUAUCAUAAACGAGGAAUUCCUAGUAAGCGCAAGUCAGCAGCUUGCGUUGAUUACGUCCCUGCCCUUUGUACACACCGCCCGUCGCUACUACCGAUUGAAUGGUUUAGUGAGAUCUUCGGAUUGGCGCCACUGCAGCUCAGCAAUGGGCUUGGUGGAUGCCGAAAAGUUGAUCAAACUUGAUCAUUUAGAGGAAGUAAAAGUCGUAACA
rnacentral:rRNA from 1 species